GCUUGUCUCAAAGAUUAAGCCAUGCAUGUCUAAGCAGAAGCCGUACUACGGUAAAGCCGCGAAUGGCUCAUUACAACAGCCGUCGUUUCUUGGAUCUCUCGAUCUACUUGGAUAACUGUGGUAAUUCUAGAGCUAAUACACGCCUUGAAGCUCUGACCUUCGGGGACGAGCGCAUUUAUUAGAACAAAACCAAUGGGGUUCGCCCCUCGAUUGGUGACUCUGAAUAACUACUCCGAUCGCACGGUCUCGCACCGGCGACGCAUCUUUCAAGUGUCUGCCUUAUCAACUGUCGAUGGUAGUUUAUGUGCCUACCAUGGUUGUAACGGGUAACGGAGAAUAAGGGUUCGACUCCGGAGAGGGAGCCCGAGAAACGGCUACCACAUCCAAGGAAGGCAGCAGGC
rnacentral:rRNA from 1 species